AGUAGCCUGGCGGCAGGCCUAACACAUGCAAGUCGAGCGGUAGCACAGAGAGCUUGCUCUCGGGUGACGAGCGGCGGACGGGUGAGUAAUGUCUGGGAAACUGCCUGAUGGAGGGGGAUAACUACUGGAAACGGUAGCUAAUACCGCAUAACGUCGCAAGACCAAAGUGGGGGACCUUCGGGCCUCAUGCCAUCAGAUGUGCCCAGAUGGGAUUAGCUAGUAGGUGGGGUAAUGGCUCACCUAGGCGACGAUCCCUAGCUGGUCUGAGAGGAUGACCAGCCACACUGGAACUGAGACACGGUCCAGACUCCUACGGGAGGCAGCAGUGGGGAAUAUUGCACAAUGGGCGCAAGCCUGAUGCAGCCAUGCCGCGUGUAUGAAGAAGGCCUUCGGGUUGUAAAGUACUUUCAGCGAGGAGGAAGGCGUUAAGGUUAAUAACCUUGGCGAUUGACGUUACUCGCAGAAGAAGCACCGGCUAACUCCGUGCCAGCAGCCGCGGUAAUACGGAGGGUGCAAGCGUUAAUCGGAAUUACUGGGCGUAAAGCGCACGCAGGCGGUCUGUCAAGUCGGAUGUGAAAUCCCCGGGCUCAACCUGGGAACUGCAUUCGAAACUGGCAGGCUAGAGUCUUGUAGAGGGGGGUAGAAUUCCAGGUGUAGCGGUGAAAUGCGUAGAGAUCUGGAGGAAUACCGGUGGCGAAGGCGGCCCCCUGGACAAAGACUGACGCUCAGGUGCGAAAGCGUGGGGAGCAAACAGGAUUAGAUACCCUGAU
rnacentral:rRNA from 1 species